AUGAGUUGUUUGAGCUGGAACUGCCGGGGGCUUGGGAACCCUGAGGCAGUUCGAGAGCUUCGCAGUAUUGUGAAGCUAGAAGGACCCACCCUCCUCUUCGUUAUGGAAACAAAGAUCAAUGCAAAAAGAGUUGAGGCGUUGAAGUACACUCUAGGUUUUGGAGGUUGUUUUGCUGUAGACAGUGCCGGCCUUAGUGGCGGUAUUGGUCUUUUCUGGUCUCGCGAU
rnacentral:rRNA from 1 species